GUUAGUCGGCCCCUAAGGCGAGGCUGAGAAGCGUAGUCGAUGGGAAACGGAUUAAUAUUUCCGUACUUGUAAUUAUUGCGAUGGGGGGACGGAGAAGGCUAGGCUAGCUGGGCGUUGGUUGUCCCAGUUUAAGGUUGUAGGCUGAGAACUUAGGCAAAUCCGGGUUCUUAAGGCCGAGAGCUGAUGACGGUGACUCUACGGAGUCCGAAGUAGUCGAUGCCAUGCUUCCAGGAAAAGCCUCUAAGCUUCAGGUAAAAAGUAACCGUACUGUAAACCGACACAGGUGAUCAGGUAGAGAAUACCAAGGCGCUUGAGAGAACUCGGGUGAAGGAACUAGGCAAAAUGGCACCGUAACUUCGGGAGAAGGUGCGCCGGUUUUGGUGAUGGGACUUGCUCCCUGAGCUGAGGCUGGUCGAAGAUACCAGGUGGCUGCGACUGUUUACUAAAAACAUAGCACUCUGCAAACACGUAAGUGGACGUAUAGGGUGUGACGCCUGCCCGGUGCCGGAAGGUUAAUUGAUGGGGUUAGACUUUGUCGAAGCUCUUGAUCGAAGCCCCGGUAAACGGCGGCCGUAACAAUAACGGUCCUAAGGUAGCGAAAUUCCUUGUCGGGUA
rnacentral:rRNA from 1 species